GACGAACGCUGGCGGCGUGCCUAACACAUGCAAGUCGAGCGGAGUCGAUCGACGGAAGCCUUCGGGCGGAAGAUGGUUGACUUAGCGGCGGAUGGGUGAGUAACGCGUGGGCAACCUGCCUCGAAGACCGGGAUAACAGCCCGAAAGGGCUGCUAAUACCGGAUGUGGUCAAGGAUCCGCAUGGAUUUUUGAUUAAAGGGGAAACCCGUUUCGAGAUGGGCCCGCGUCCUAUCAGCUAGUUGGUGAGGUAAAAGCUCACCAAGGCGACGACGGGUAGCCGGCCUGAGAGGGUGACCGGCCACACUGGAACUGAGACACGGUCCAGACUCCUACGGGGGGCAGCAGUGGGGAAUCUUCCACAAUGGGCGAAAGCCUGAUGGAGCGACGCCGCGUGAGCGAAGAAGGCCUUCGGGUUGUAAAGCUCUGUCUGGAGGGACGAAGGAAGUGACGGUACCUCCGGAGGAAGCCACGGCUAACUACGUGCCAGCAGCCGCGGUAAAAGUACGUACUAU
rnacentral:rRNA from 1 species